AAUGAACGUUGGCGGCGUGGAUUAGGCAUGCAAGUCGAGCGAGAAACCAUAGCUUGCUAAGGUGGACAGCGGCGAAAGGGAGAGUAAUACGUAGAAAUCUGCCCCGGAGUCUGGGAUAGCGUUGGGAAACUGGCGGUAAUACCGGAUAACGUCUUCGGACCAAAGAAUUUCGCUCUGGGAUGAGUCUACGACCUAUUAGCUUGUUGGUGGGGUAACGGCCUACCAAGGCGACGAUGGGUAGCGGGUGUGAGAGCAUGAUCCGCCUCACUGGGACUGAGACACUGCCCAGACAUCUACGGAUGGCUGCAGUCGAGAAUCUUUGUCAAUGGACGAAAGUCUGAACAAGCGACGCCGCGUGCGGGAUGAAGGCCUUCGGGUUGUAAACCGCUUUCGGAGGGGAGGAAAUUUUGACUGAACCUCAAAAGAAGGACGGGCUAAGUUCG
rnacentral:rRNA from 1 species